rnacentral:rRNA from 1 species
CUUUGCGUUUUUCUUUAGGUUUUGGGGGUUGGGAGGAUGGAGACGAAGGAGACCACUGCCUAACGCCGCGGCGGCUGCUCAGUGGCUCGCUCUACCGCUCGAGCCGCGACUCCGCUAGAGAAGGUGCCGCGCCGAGCGAGGCGGCGGAGGAGGGAAGGGUGGGUGGUGGGCGGCGGUGGAGGAGCAAGGCAGCGAGGAAGGUCAGGCUUCUCCCGCGCCGCCCGCUCUCGUGCCUCCUGAAACUUUUCGCCUACAAACCCUUGGUCUCCCUCGGCCUACGGUUGAGCAAGAAGCCCUUCGAGCUACCCCAACCCUCGAGGAAGCCUCCUUCUGUACCGUGGCCGAGACCCUACCCACGGAAGUCAGUCGUCCCACCCUACCCAUUGAACAAACCACUCUCCUCACAAGUACCCUAGUACCUACCAAAGCUGAGGAACUUGCUACCGUACUUGCUCUUCAACCUGCUGCGCCGGGCGUGGAAAGUGUACUGCCUACUCCAACUCCUGCUACUGAUACUAAAGUCCGGUCUACACUUAAUGUCCGCUCCGAGCUGAAUGUUACAGGCCCUAGAACUGGAUUGUUUUGGACGUCGGGGUUCCUUAGGAGGAUCUGGAGUCAAACUUUGUAGAUGUUUCCUUCAAAAUUCCUUUCGACUAAAAUCCUUACAAUCUAAGGAACGGUUGAAAUAAUGUCUCCGACCGUAAUAGUAGUUCUCCUUAGUCUGGUUCUAUUCACGUUUUCGAGUCGCGUUCCACCGCUCUCUCUAAUUUUGUCGCGCACGUGACCCCGACUACGGAAAGUGCUGCUACCCGUUCUCUGGUAAGUAGAAACCGUCUUCACGCCUCCUCCUACGAAGUCUUCUCCUUAUACCCAUACUAAAACAGGUCUUCCUACGACCUGGACUUCUAUGACGACCGCUACGACACGGGCUACACCUCUGACGCAUUUGUUAGACCUCAUCAUCCAGUAAAUAUCUUUUCAAGAGCGAAGAUGAAUCACGGAGCACAAUACAUACGGUGAGAUAAAAAGGAUAGAUCAUACCUACGGAGAACUCUUAUUACCUUCGAAUGCGAGGCGUUUUGUACUUUGACAACUAUCAUAACUGAAUACCUAUUCGAUAAGGAGUAAAAAUCGAACAAAGAGGGGUAAACAUACCAAUGUCGGAAUCUGUAUUAUAGUUCGGGAAGAUUUACUCCGUGGUAAUACUUAUAUAUUGUCAAUUCUUGUAAAACAUUCAACAGUCAGUAACGUAAAAACCUGUAGAUUAAAGAAACAACACGUGUCGUGUCGAGACGUAAAAUAGCACGUGGCUGACAAAAUGGAACAAGAACCAGGUCAAGUACAUGUAUUUACGUAUAUAUGUGGAAGACACGUUAGGUCUGUCAUUCUGUCAGACGAGCAUACAUAAGGUCACUUAAUUAAGGACCUAUAUUAUGAUCAUAUCCGAAUCCAGUACAAGCGUAAAUGAAAUCGAUCGGUAAGUGAUCAAACUGUAACCACACCCAAGACAUCUAGUUACAUCAAAGUACGUAAUCCUUUGUGACUAACACGGCUUCACCUAUUAUGACUAAGUAAACAAAGUACAAGAGAGUUGGUGAAGGCACGCCUCAAGGAUUUAUAGGCACUAGUAGACAAAAGAACGUCGGGUACGUGUGGAAAAGACAACCUGGCAGAUAAACAACAAGGUUUUUCCUUUUUACUAAAUUGUCUUUUAUAACGUACAACGUCCUUGAUACCACUGAACACCUAGAUAGUGACUAAAUGGUUAAAAAACUACAAAAGCGAGAAAUACUC